GGCUUGAAUUAGAAAGCUGUUCUCCCUCCAAUAUUUUCUUUGAUAUUAAGGAGUUCUUAGUCCAGUGACAUUUCAUCAUAAAAUCAUGAAAUAUAUUUGUCACAGCUGCCACUACAGAACCAGCGAGACCGUAGAAAGAUAUUUGUGUUGAAAGGCACUCGGGUAGCCGGCACAUAUUCCCAGGGCUUGGAAACGAUUUCAGAGCAACUUGGCCCCUCCCUCCCUCACCAGUUGUCUAUGUCAAAAGGCAGAAGGUUUAAAAAUUCCUAUUGACCAUGAUCAGUAUCAGCUCAACAGAGAAGGCUGUGCCUAAAUGUUAAGAUCAUUCUACGGAGCCAAAGUCAAGAGUCUGCACAGAAGCAUCAUGUUGAAAAAGUGUGAAAGAGCUGGAUGGAGCUCAGGGAUGAUGGACAGAUCCCUUUCAGACGCAAGUGACAGUGUCUUCUGCUCCCACUCGCUUUCUUAUUUUUGCAUCAAACAUAAAUAGUAAGUGAAGAGAUGUAAUUCAAUAGCAGAGCUUCAGGUGUCUGAGAUUAGAUGAAAGGGAUCCUUAGCACCAAGGCACAAAGACUUGUUUUAAAAAAAGAAAAAGAAAAGGCAGAGACUAAAGGAAUGAUAAAACACAAACUUCAGUCGGAAAAUCUCUCAUGCUUCUGAGGGGCUGAUUUGAACUUCCCAGGGUCGCCCUGUGCAUGUAUUGCACAGGUUCAGCCACUCCAUGUGCUGUCAGCUAUUUCACAUAAAUAAUGAGGAAGUCACUGGCUGCCGGGGCCCAGUUCCAGUGGACUGAAGGGGACGAAGCUGAAGCACAGAGAAGUUUCGUAACCGACCCAAAGUCACAUUGUAAGUGAUGGAGCUGAGCUUUGCCUACUGUCUAUCAGGUUCUAGAGUCUGGGCGCAGCCCCAGCACCCCAGAAGUACAGCAGUACCUCCUAGCCGGACUAGAGCAGAGGGGGACCAGGACCACCUGGCCUCAGGUCACAGGUCUGAACAUCCACACAGCUGAGAGUGCAGCUCAAACUCCAAGGCUCCCCUGACUGCCUUCCUGAUUACUGGGCAGGGUUUUCCAAGAUCCACAUUUCAGAUUGAGACCUUCUGAAAUGUAGGCC